GAUGAACGCUGACAGAAUGCUUAACACAUGCAAGUCUUUGGCGAAGCUGUGCUUGCACAGCCUAGCCAAGGCGGACGGGUGAGUAACGCGUAAGGAACUUGCCCUGCAGUCAGGGAUAACAGACGGAAACGACUGAUAAGACCUGGUAAAGUCAGGCGGACUCAUGUCCACCCUGAUGAAAAGAGAUGCUGCAGGAGAGCCUUGCGUCCUAUUAGCUUGUUGGUGGGGUAACGGCCCACCAAGGCGAUGAUAGGUAGCCGGCCUGAGAGGGUGGACGGCCACAAGGGGACUGAGAUACGGCCCUUACUCCUACGGGAGGCAGCAGUGGGGAAUAUUGGACAAUGGGGGCAACCCUGAUCCAGCAAUUCUGUGUGCACGAUGAAGGUUUUCGGAUUGUAAAGUGCUUUCAGCAGGGAAGAAAAAAAUGACGGUACCUGCAGAAGAAGCGACGGCUAAAUACGUG
rnacentral:rRNA from 1 species